rnacentral:rRNA from 1 species
GACGAACGCUGGCGGCGUGCUUAGCACAUGCAAGUCGAACGGAAAGGCCCUGCUUUUGUGGGGUGCUCGAGUGGCGAACGGGUGAGUAACACGUGAGUAACCUGCCCUUGACUUUGGGAUAACUUCAGGAAACUGGGGCUAAUACCGGAUAGGAGCUCCUGCUGCAUGGUGGGGGUUGGAAAGUUUGGCGGUUGGGGAUGGACUCGCGGCUUAUCAGCUUGUUGGUGGGGUAGUGGCUUACCAAGGCUUUGACGGGUAGCCGGCCUGAGAGGGUGACCGGCCACAUUGGGACUGAGAUACGGCCCAGACUCCUACGGGAGGCAGCAGUGGGGAAUAUUGCACAAUGGGCGGAAGCCUGAUGCAGCAACGCCGCGUGCGGGAUGACGGCCUUCGGGUUGUAAACCGCUUUCGCCUGUGACGAAGCGUGAGUGACGGUAAUGGGUAAAGAAGCACCGGCUAACUACGUG